UUCUUCAGAUGAUGAUCCCAAGCCUUCUGGCGAUCUCUUACAAUAAGCCCUUUGGGACUUUAAGGAAGACACUUUUGUGUUUUAUGAGAUAAUGCCGGGGAAGGUUUUCCGGUUUAUCCCGGAGGGCUUGUAGCUCAGCUGGUUAGAGCGCGCGCUUGAUAAGCGUGAGGUCGGAGGUUCAAGUCCUCCCAGGCCCACCAAUUUUACAUCACUUUUAAGUGCUUAUAGAAAUUGUAAGCAGUUAUGAAAGCUUGCUGAUAGAAAUUUUAUGGCGCUUAUCCAUUUGGUUUAAACGAUAUGUGACUUAAGCCAUCUAAAAUUAAAGCAGUUCAAAUGCAUAGAAGUUUGAAUUUUAGACAAUGGAAGUAAAUUUGGAUAAUGUGAAUUUUGAGCAGUAUAAAUUUAGGUUCUGCAAAUUUUGCAAAUCUCUCUUCAAAGAGUUUCGCAUGUUUUAUGCUGUUUUAGGGGCCGUAGCUCAGCUGGGAGAGCACCUGCUUUGCAAGCAGGGGGUCGUCGGUUC
rnacentral:misc_RNA from 1 species